rnacentral:rRNA from 1 species
GCGCCCUUCGGGGUGAGCGGCGGACGGGUUAGUAACGCGUGGGAAUAUGCCCGACACUAAGGAAUAGCCUCUGGAAACGGAGAGUAAUACCUUAUACGCCCUACGGGGGAAAGAUUUAUCGGUGACGGAUUAGCCCGCGUUAGAUUAGAUAGUUGGUGGGGUAAUGGCCUACCAAGUCUACGAUCUAUAGCUGGUUUUAGAGGAUGAUCAGCAACACUGGGACUGAGACACGGCCCAGACUCCUACGGGAGGCAGCAGUGGGGAAUCUUGGACAAUGGGCGCAAGCCUGAUCCAGCCAUGCCGCGUGAGUGAUGAAGGCCUUAGGGUCGUAAAGCUCUUUCGCCAGGGAUGAUAAUGACAGUACCUGGUAAAGAAACCCCGGCUAACUCCGUGCCAGCAGCCGCGGUAAUACGGAGGGGGUUAGCGUUGUUCGGAAUUACUGGGCGUAAAGCGCGCGUAGGCCGAUUAGUCAGUUAGAGGUGAAAUCCCGGGGCUCAACCCCGGAACUGCCUUUAAUACUGCUAGUCUUGAGUUCGAGAGAGGUGAGUGGAAUUCCGAGUGUAGAGGUGAAAUUCGUAGAUAUUCGGAGGAACACCAGUGGCGAAGGCGGCUCACG